GGUCCCCUAGCCUUGGGGGAGCUGGGCUUCGCUGCUGUGGGAGUGGCCGCUCUUCAGCUGGAAGGUGCUACUGGGGAUUGAGGUUUGCAUUCCCAGCCUCCGGCCCCUCGUGAAGAUGAGCGAGUUUCUCUCCCCAGUUCUUUGACCCAGGUAGUGAGGUGGGCAGGGUGCUGCUUGGAGAAAGUGGGUAGCUGCUGUAGCAGGAGCUGGAGUUCAAUGCCUCGUGGUCCUUUGGUCACCUCACUGAGUCUUCUUGCACACGCCCCUUUUCACUUCCUCUCUUCACAUCGGUCAUGCUGGGGUCCCAAGAAGCAUGACUGCUCCAGCAUCAGCCACGUGACAUGGGUGGUUCCCAGCACCUCGUCUAGAAGACGCUGAAGUGACAGGUUCAUCAAAACAGGAAGUCAGUUUCUGAAUACUGGUCCUGUGAGUCAACAGAGACACCUUUCUCACUUGAACCCAAAUUGCAACCCAGGGCCACUUGGAGCUACAUAAUUGGAAGCUGAUUGACAGAUGCCCCAGAUGUUUUAUUAGAUGGUCCAUCCUGGAGGAGUGGCAGACGCCAGCUGGGGUCAAGGUUGAGCAUCCGAAUCUCCUGGGUUGUUUGUACAGGAUCCAGGCCUGAAUUUCAAUAGCGAAUAUCAACUAAGAAAAGCAGUAAAGUCCCUGAAAAAUUAACAUUGCUAAAGAGGACCCCAGGCCCCCCCAGGGUGAGACUCUGAGGAUCACCAGCAAAUGCUUCCAGAAACUGAGCGUCCUCCCAGCCCGAGUGAGCUUGGCAGUGGACAGCAGAGGACAUUCCACUGAAAUCCGGCCAUCGGGAGCCGAAGACAAAGGCAACUGAUUCAAGUGCACCAAAUUGGAGUUUCUCUAAUCAAAUAUAUUAAAUUCACCAUCAUUCUUGAUU